rnacentral:rRNA from 1 species
CCUACGGGGGGCUGCAGUGGGGAAUAUUGGACAAUGGGGGCAACCCUGAUCCAGCCAUGCCGCGUGUGUGAAGAAGGCCCUCGGGUUGUAAAGCACUUUCAGUGAGGAAGAACGCCUGGUGGUGAAUACCCAUCAGGAAAGACAUCACUCACAGAAGAAGCACCGGCUAACUCCGUGCCAGCAGCCGCGGUAAUACGGAGGGUGCGAGCGUUAAUCGGAAUUACUGGGCGUAAAGCGCGCGUAGGUGGCUUGAUAAGCCGGUUGUGAAAGCCCCGGGCUCAACCUGGGAACGGCAUCCGGAACUGUCAAGCUAGAGUGCAGGAGAGGAAGGUAGAAUUCCCGGUGUAGCGGUGAAAUGCGUAGAGAUCGGGAGGAAUACCAGUGGCGAAGGCGGCCUUCUGGACUGACACUGACACUGAGGUGCGAAAGCGUGGGUAGCAAACAGGAUUAGAUACCCUUGUAGUC